CGCUGGUGGCGUGUCUUAUACAUGCAAGUCGAGCGAGGCAGCAAUGCCGAGCGGCGAACGGGUGAGUAACGCGUAAGCAAUCUGCCCCAUAUCAGGAAAUACCCGUGCCAACGCGCGGUUAAUGUCCAGGAGAGUGGCCCUCCGCAUGGAGGGUUGACGUAGAGAUUCAUUCGGUAUGGGAUGAGCUUGCGUCCGAUUAGCUAGUUGGCGGGGCAACGGCCCACCAAGGCGACGAUCGGUAGCCGGCCUGAGAGGGUGAUCGGCCACAUUGGGACUGAGAUACGGCCCAGACUCCUACGGGAGGCAGCAGUAGGGAAUAUUGCACAAUGGGGGAAACCCUGAUGCAGCAACGCCACGUGUGGGAAGAAGCAUUUCGGUGUGUAAACCACUGUCAUGAGGGAAUAAGGCCCGCCUUCGGACGGGAUUGAAUGUACCUUGAGAGGAAGCACCGGCAAACUUCGUGCCAGCCGCCGC
rnacentral:rRNA from 1 species